AUUGAACGCUGGCGGCAGGCUUAACACAUGCAAGUCGAACGAGUGGCGGACGGGUGAGUAAUGCUUGGGAACCUAGCUUAUGGAGGGGGAUAACUACGGGCAACUGUAGCUAAUACCGCGUACCAUAGGAUGAGCCCAAGUGGGAUUAGGUAGUUGGUGAGGUAAAGGCUCACCAAACCGACGAUCUCUAGAUGGUCUGAGAGGAUGACCAGCCACACUGGGACUGAGACACGGCCCAUACUCCAACGUGAGGCAGCAGUGGGGAAUGUUACGCAAUGGCGGCAACCUGACACAGCCUUGCCGCGUGAAUGAAGAAGGCCUUCGGGUUGUAAAGUACUUUCGGUAGCGAGGCGUUAACAUCAGAAGAAGCACCGGCUAACUCCGUGCCAGCAGCCGGGGUAAUUC
rnacentral:rRNA from 1 species